AGGCGACAAUGAUUGCGGUCGGGAAGACGCUAGAAAUGCUUCGAAGCAUUACAUUAACCAAUCAGAAUAAAGAAAUCUUUGCUCUUUUUGUCCUGAUUGGUCAAUCAAAUGCUUCGAAGCAUUUCUAGCAUCUUCCUGACCUCAGCCAAAGAUUAGAAGUUAGGAUGGCGAGAAGACCGGGCAACGGAAAGAAUGUAAGGAAGGAAUGUACAAGAAUGAUAAAUUAUCAUCAGAGGAAGGCCAUUUCUGCUACAUCUGGAUGCUAAAUGUUGGAUGAUGCAUGCACAAUGAGAUAUGUUUCGAGAAGAAAAGCGAGAUGGAAUUGGACGAGCACACGAUGGACAUCGCGACGAAUACGAAGGUAUGCACGCUAUAUGACAUGUUACAUUUUACAACGUAUACUUUAUUAAUUGCAGUUACACAUGUAUGCGUUUGCAUUCUUGCUCCACAUGCAAAUUACUUACACAAAUGCUCCACAAAAGGAAAAAAACAACGUUCCAACGUUUUCACAUAGCCUCUCUCAGCGUGGCGUAAUAUGUGUAUAUAUAUAUAUAUAUAUAUAUAUAUAUAUAUAUAUAUAUUUUUUAUUUAUUUAUAUAUGUAUAUGCGUGAGAGUCCAUAAGAAAUACUUAAUUGCUACAAAACAUUCAUAAUCUAUGUUAUCAUGAUCAUAGUCGAUGUCGCAUUUAAGCACUGAUCGAUCGAUUGUUUUUUUUGUUCAUGCGAUGUGUAACACUAGUCUAGAUCACAGUCGUUUCCGCUUUGCAGUCGAGUAAAGAGAUGCGAUUAAUGCUUCGAUGAGUGAGAAUGGAUGAGAGAAAGGGAGAGAGAGUGAGAGAUAGAGAAUGAGACAGGCGGUGA